rnacentral:rRNA from 1 species
GACGAACGCUGGCGGCGUGCUUAACACAUGCAAGUCGAACGCUGAAGCUCAGCUUUUGUUGGGUGGAUGAGUGGCGAACGGGUGAGUAACACGUGAGUAACCUGCCCCCUUCUUUGGGAUAACGCCCGGAAACGGGUGCUAAUACUGGAUAUUCACUGGUCUUCGCAUGGGGGUUGGUGGAAAGGGUUUUUCUGGUGGGGGAUGGGCUCGCGGCCUAUCAGCUUGUUGGUGGGGUGAUGGCCUACCAAGGCUUUGACGGGUAGCCGGCCUGAGAGGGUGACCGGUCACAUUGGGACUGAGAUACGGCCCAGACUCCUACGGGAGGCAGCAGUGGGGAAUAUUGCACAAUGGGCGCAAGCCUGAUGCAGCGACGCCGCGUGAGGGAUGGAGGCCUUCGGGUUGUGAACCUCUUUCGCUCAUGGUCAAGCCGCAACAAUGGUUGUGGUGAGGGUAGUGGGUAAAGAAGUGCCGGCUAACUACGUG